rnacentral:rRNA from 1 species
UGGGCAAUAUUGAAACUAUACUUUCCAGUAGUAUCGCUGGUGUUUUUUUUUUUGCAGCUUCCAGUUGCUGGAACUAUCUGGUAUGGGUCAGCAAUGACCCCAAUCGAAUUAUUUGGGCCUAAUCGUUAUCAGUGGGAUCAGGGAUAUUUUCAGCAAGAAAUAUAUCGAAGAGUUAGCAAUGGUUUAGCCGAAAAUCUUAUAGCUUUUUAUGAUUAUAUUGAUAAUAAUCCAACAAAAGGGGGAUUAUUCAGAGGAGGCUCAAUGGACAAUGGGGAUGGAAUAGCUGUUGGAUGGUUAGGACAUCCCAUCUUUAGAGAUAAAGAAGGACGUGAGCUUUUUGUACGCCAUGUGAAGGAAGAGCCUUUCUUUAACUUCUUUAAUUUGCCGUUACUCGCCAAACAGGCAUGGCAUCUGUUGGAUAAUCUUGAUUCCUUGUGCGGUUCUAUCCCAGGGCAAAAUAUUACCCCGACGAGGAUCUGUUAA